CGCAAGAUUAAAACUCAAAUGAAUUGACGGGGGCCCGCACAAGCGGUGGAGCAUGUGGUUUAAUUCGAUGCAACGCGAAGAACCUUACCUACUCUUGACAUCCAGAGAACUUUCCAGAGAUGGAUUGGUGCCUUCGGGAACUCUGAGACAGGUGCUGCAUGGCUGUCGUCAGCUCGUGUUGUGAAAUGUUGGGUUAAGUCCCGCAACGAGCGCAACCCUUAUCCUUGUUUGCCAGCGAGUAAUGUCGGGAACUCCAGGGAGACUGCCGGUGAUAAACCGGAGGAAGGUGGGGACGACGUCAAGUCAUCAUGGCCCUUACGAGUAGGGCUACACACGUGCUACAAUGGCGCAUACAGAGGGCGGCCAACUUGCGAAAGUGAGCGAAUCCCAAAAAGUGCGUCGUAGUCCGGAUUGGAGUCUGCAACUCGACUCCAUGAAGUCGGAAUCGCUAGUAAUCGUGGAUCAGAAUGCCACGGUGAAUACGUUCCCGGGCCUUGUACACACCGCCCGUCACACCAUGGGAGUGGGCUGCAAAAGAAGUAGGUAGUUUAACCUUCGGGGGGGACGCUU
rnacentral:rRNA from 1 species